CUCUAGAUAGCUCAGUUGGAAGAGCAUGAGACUGUAACGGAAGCUUAAUUUGUAGCUAUCUCAGGGUCACCGGUUCGAUCCCGGUUCUGGAGA